UACGGGGGGGGCAAGCGUUGUUCGGAAUUACUGGGCGUAAAGGGCUCGUAGGUGGCCAACUAAGUCAGACGUGAAAUCCCUCGGCUUAACCGGGGAACUGCAUCUGAUACUGGAUGGCUUGAGUUCGGGAGAGGGAUGCGGAAUUCCAGGUGUAGCGGUGAAAUGCGUAGAUAUCUGGAGGAACACCGGUGGCGAAGGCGGCAUCCUGGACCGGCACUGACGCUGAGGAGCGAAAGCCAGGGGAGCAAACGGG
rnacentral:rRNA from 1 species